UUAGGUUAUGUUUAUACACAGCUAAGUGUAAGAAAUACCAUAAAUGCUCUGCCUCAACUGGAUAUUUUAGGUUAAGAACUGUAACAUUUAAAUUUGUGUAAGAUGUCAUUUUUGGGGAAUUUUAUUUUACUGGGUUGGUUUACUGUAAUCUCAUUGGUGGUAUGCAUGGUAGACCGGAAAUUCGUUCACUUCGAUGUAAGCCGUAGAAGUAACAACUGUUGUUGGUGUUUACUGUCCUCGACCUCGUGUAAAAUCAAUUGUUCUGAAUUAUUCAGUGGUCAUCUACCAGUUGUACAUUGAUUGGAGGGAUUUAUACGUGAAAUAUCGUUAGGAGAAGUUUCUACCGACGUAUAUUUUUGAAGAACGUAUACCGUUUCGGGAUUUAAAGAGGAUUAGUUUGGCCAGUAGUUUGUGACUUUGCCCUUCGUUGUUAAGGGCUGUUUGGCUGGUGCCGGUGGUGUAUCGUUUGGCGUAUUGGGGUUACUUGCUGAUUGGAUUUGGUUACAUCUUCGUGGUAUCGUGUUACUUCUACGUGGGAUAACAUUCGACUUCUGUUAUUUGCUGUAAUUUUGGCGUGUUGAAGAAAUUCGUCGCUGUCAAAUAAACUGUCGCCAGACGCCAUCUAGUACGAGUUUGCCACAUGGAUGUAACGGGAAGCCUCGUCCACCGAGCUCGCUGGAUGGGAAUGGUAUUGUUGGUAAGCUUAUAUUAACCUAUGUUACUUUUAUGUGUAUAGGAUUUUACUUGGAUAGACUUUGGGUAGU